UACGGAGGGUGCAAGCAUUAAUCGGAUUUAUUGGGCGUAAAGGGCGCGUAGGCGGAAAUUUAAGUCAGAUGUGAAAUACCAGGGCUCAACCUUGGUGCUGCGUCUGAAACUGGAUAUCUAGAGGGUAGAAGGAGAAAACGGAAUUCCACAUGUAGCGGUGAAAUGCGUAGAUAUGUGGAAGAACACCGGUGGCGAAGGCGGUUUUCUAUUUUAUUUCCUGACGCUGAGGCGCGAAAGCAAGGGGAUCAAACAGG
rnacentral:rRNA from 1 species